CAACAAGCGAAAGGAGGUGGUCCAGUGUCUACAGAGGUAUUGGAGCGAGGUGUCGGAACAGUUCAGGGGAGCAUCGUCUAGGGCAGCCCCGAGGCGUAAAAGCCAACUGAAUUGGUGCGCCUAACCGGCCCACCUCCGCUAACUUCUAGAGGGCCGUUCCGGGAUCGGGGCGGCCC
rnacentral:sRNA from 1 species